GCCCAGAUGGGAUUAGCUAGUAGGUGGGGUAACGGCUCACCUAGGCGACGAUCCCUAGCUGGUCUGAGAGGAUGACCAGCCACACUGGAACUGAGACACGGUCCAGACUCCUACGGGAGGCAGCAGUGGGGAAUAUUGCACAAUGGGCGCAAGCCUGAUGCAGCCAUGCCGCGUGUAUGAAGAAGGCCUUCGGGUUGUAAAGUACUUUCAGCGGGGAGGAAGGGAGUAAAGUUAAUACCUUUGCUCAUUGACGUUACCCGCAGAAGAAGCACCGGCUAACUCCGUGCCAGCAGCCGCGGUAAUACGGAGGGUGCAAGCGUUAAUCGGAAUUACUGGGCGUAAAGCGCACGCAGGCGGUUUGUUAAGUCAGAUGUGAAAUCCCCGGGCUCAACCUGGGAACUGCAUCUGAUACUGGCAAGCUUGAGUCUCGUAGAGGGGGGUAGAAUUC
rnacentral:rRNA from 1 species